rnacentral:rRNA from 1 species
GACGAACGCUGGCGGCGCGCUUAACACAUGCAAGUCGAACGGAAAGGCCUGCUUUCCCUUGUGGAUUGCGGGUACUCGAGUGGCUAACGGGUGAGUAACACGUGAGUGAUCUGCCCCCAACUUGGGUAUAAGCCUGGGAAACUGGGUCUAAUUCCCGAUAGGACUGCAGGGUGGUGCCUGUGGUGGAAAACGAUUUUCUAGUGGUUGGGGAUGAGCUCGCGGCCUAUCAGCUUGUUGGUGGGGUAAUGGCCUACCAAGGCGGCGACGGGUAGCCGGCCUGAGAGGGUGGACGGCCACAGUGGGACUGAGAUACGGCCCAGACGCCGACGGGAGGCAGCAGUGGGGAAUAGUGCACAAUGGGCGGAAGCCUGAUGCAGCGACGCCGCGUGGGGGAUGACGGCCUUCGGGUUGUAAACUCCUUUCGACCGCGAGGAAGCCACCUGGUUGGAAGGGUGGUGACGGUAGUGGUAGAAGAAGCACCGGCUAACUACGUG